GUGGGGAAUCUUGCGCAAUGGGCGAAAGCCUGACGCAGCCAUGCCGCGUGGAUGAUGAAGGUCUUAGGAUUGUAAAAUCCUUUCACCGGUGAAGAUAAUGACUGUAGCCGGAGAAGAAGCCCCGGCUAACUUCGUGCCAGCAGCCGCGGUAAUACGAAGGGGGCUAGCGUUGCUCGGAAUUACUGGGCGUAAAGGGAGCGUAGGCGGACAUUUAAGUCAGGGGUGAAAUCCCGAGGCUCAACCUCGGAACUGCCUUUGAUACUGGGUGUCUUGAGUGUGAGAGAGGUGAGUGGAACUCCGAGUGUAGAGGUGAAAUUCGUAGAUAUUCGGAAGAACACCAGUGGCGAAGGCGACUCACUGGCUCAUUACUGACGCUGAGGCUCGAAAGCGUGGGGAGCAAACAGGAUUAGAUACCCCUGUAGUCC
rnacentral:rRNA from 1 species